rnacentral:rRNA from 1 species
CACGGGUGCGUAACGCGUGGGAAUCUGCCCUUGGGUUCGGAAUAACCGUUAGAAAUGACGGCUAAUACCGGAUGAUGACGUAAGUCCAAAGAUUUAUCGCCCGAGGAUGAGCCCGCGUAGGAUUAGCUAGUUGGUGGGGUAAAGGCCUACCAAGGCGACGAUCCUUAGCUGGUCUGAGAGGAUGAUCAGCCACACUGGGACUGAGACACGGCCCAGACUCCUACGGGAGGCAGCAGUGGGGAAUAUUGGACAAUGGGCGCAAGCCUGAUCCAGCAAUGCCGCGUGAGUGAUGAAGGCCUUAGGGUUGUAAAGCUCUUUUACCCGGGAUGAUAAUGACAGUACCGGGAGAAUAAGCUCCGGCUAACUCCGUGCCAGCAGCCGCGGUAAU